UUUCAGUAUAAAUUACACAUUUUCUUCUUAAAUUAUGAGAAAUGUUAUACUUUGGUUGACUAACUUUAAUAAAUUGUAAUUUCAAACUAAAUCUUUUAGAUUAUUGCAUCGAGCUUUACGGUCCAAUUUAAAUAACUGAAUUAUGAUUUGACGUUGAAGUGGUAGUGAUGUAAUGAUGUAGCAUUUUAGCCAUUCUCGUACCAUCAACUAUAACACAGUCACAUCAUGAUUGUACCACCAACAUAUUA
rnacentral:lncRNA from 1 species